UUCUUUAUUUGUCUUUAUUGUCAUUCAGAUUAGGAGGAACAAAACUGUUAAAAGACCCACUCCUAUAAAAGAACUGUUUUUGGUGUUUUUAACAUGCUCUCGUGGCAUUUUCCUGAGCAUGGAGGACAAAUGUAAAGAAAAUUAAGCUUAAAAUUGCACUUGUUGAAAAAAAUGUCAUAUUUGUGACAUUGAAAAUACGCUGGGGAGGGGGGGGGGGGGGGGGGGGUCAAAGGCUCCCCGCUCCAUUCCAUUCUGAUGCAUCCACUUGCCGACAAAAAGGUCUUUGUUUUCCUUGUCUGAGUGGAAAUGUGGCUUAAAACCGUUCGGCUGGAUGGCUCCAAUAUUACUCGCCAUUUUUGUUGCACCGGCAGUGUUAGAGUCGGGGUGUGAGGGACUGUACGCUAGCGGGACAGAGGGUAAAAGCAGUGAUCAUGGGAAAUCAGGACAGGCUUACUCAGAAGCAAAUUUCGAAAGAACUACUGCCGCUCUGCAGACAAUAUUUCCUAGAAAACGACAUAGGUUUUUAGAUUUUGAUUUAAAACAGCAUAAUCAUAAAUAUGAAAAACACUUUUACAAAAGAUCAAAAGAUGAUCAGGGUGGGACCUUAAACCAAAUCUAGCUGUUCAAGAAAUUCUUCUCUAAAAACAGUUAAAAGAAAGUUUUAUUUUAACAGCAUAUUAAAUUAAUCUUAUCCCUGUGGUGCUUAAAACUAUGAUCUAUAACUACAACCUUCCUCUCAAAGCAGUCUAAUAAUCAAACCUCUACAGAUGAUUUGUGUUCAGUUCUACAGACGGUGGUAUUUUAAUUCUUGCUCCAAACUUUCUCACCUUUCCUCCCAUGCUUUUUUUAUGUUUGUGUUGUUUCUGACAGUAAAACGUGCAGGUUUUUUUUCACACUAAAGGUUUGGUGACGCUGCUCUUUAAGCAUAGACUAAUCAGAGUGAAAUAAAUAUUCUAAACUAUUUGGAAUACCUACUCUUUUUACAAGAUAUAACAUAUAAUUCAGCUACCUGAUGUUAUUUUUGGUAUUGCUAAUAGUUUCUUGUUUGUUUAUGAAAAUAUGAGUGUUAUACUGUGAUAUAUUUUUAUUUAAU
rnacentral:lncRNA from 1 species